GGUUAAGCGACUAAGCGUACACGGUGGAUGCCCUGGCAGUCAGAGGCGAUGAAGGGCGUGCUAAUCUGCGAUAAGCGCCGGUAAGGUGAUAUGAACCGUUAUAACCGGCGAUACCCGAAUGGGGAAACCCAGUGUGAUUCGUCACACUAUCAUUAACUGAAUCCAUAGGUUAAUGAGGCGAACCGGGGGAACUGAAACAUCUAAGUACCCCGAGGAAAAGAAAUCAACCGAGAUUCCCCCAGUAGCGGCGAGCGAACGGGGAGGAGCCCAGAGCCUGAAUCAGCAUGUGUGUUAGUGGAAGCGUCUGGAAAGGCGCGCGAUACAGGGUGACAGCCCCGUACACAAAAGCGCAUGUGCUGUGAGCUCGAUGAGUAGGGCGGGACACGUGGUAUCCUGUCUGAAUAUGGGGGGACCAUCCUCCAAGGCUAAAUACUCCUGACUGACCGAUAGUGAACCAGUACCGUGAGGGAAAGGCGAAAAGAACCCCGGCGAGGGGAGUGAAAAAGAACCUGAAACCGUGUACGUACAAGCAGUGGGAGCACAGGUUUACCUGUGUGACUGCGUACCUUUUGUAUAAUGGGUCAGCGACUUAUAUUCUGUAGCAAGGUUAACCGAAUAGGGGAGCCGGAGGGAAACCGAGUCUUAAUUGGGCGUUAAGUUGCAGGGUAUAGACCCGAAACCCGGUGAUCUAGCCAUGGGCAGGUUGAAGGUUGGGUAACACUAACUGGAGGACCGAACCGACUAAUGUUGAAAAAUUAGCGGAUGACCUGUGGCUGGGGGUGAAAGGCCAAUCAAACCGGGAGAUAGCUGGUUCUCCCCGAAAGCUAUUUAGGUAGCGCCUCGUGAAUUCAUCUCCGGGGGUAGAGCACUGUUUCGGCUAGGGGGCCAUCCCGGCUUACCAACCCGAUGCAAACUGCGAAUACCGGAGAAUGUUAUCACGGGAGACACACGGCGGGUGCUAACGUCCGUCGUGAAGAGGGAAACAACCCAGACCGCCAGCUAAGGUCCCAAAGUCAUGGUUAAGUGGGAAACGAUGUGGGAAGGCCCAGACAGCCAGGAUGUUGGCUUAGAAGCAGCCAUCAUUUAAAGAAAGCGUAAUAGCUCACUGGUCGAGUCGGCCUGCGCGGAAGAUGUAACGGGGCUAAACCAUGCACCGAAGCUGCGGCAGCGAACGUAUCACUUAAAGCGAUUCAGCGGGUUACGAUUGACGGAGCGAAGCGACGUCAAAGCGUAUACAAAGUCGAGUCGGUUUAAGGAUACGUUCGUUGGGUAGGGGAGCGUUCUGUAAGCCUGUGAAGGUGGCCUGUGAGGGUUGCUGGAGGUAUCAGAAGUGCGAAUGCUGACAUAAGUAACGAUAAAGCGGGUGAAAAGCCCGCUCGCCGGAAGACCAAGGGUUCCUGUCCAACGUUAAUCGGGGCAGGGUGAGUCGACCCCUAAGGCGAGGCCGAAAGGCGUAGUCGAUGGGAAACGGGUUAAUAUUCCCGUACUUGGUGUUACUGCGAAGGGGGGACGGAGAAGGCUAUGUUGGCCGGGCGACGGUUGUCCCGGUUUAAGCGUGUAGGCUGGUUUUCCAGGCAAAUCCGGAAAAUCAAGGCUGAGGCGUGAUGACGAGGCACUACGGUGCUGAAGCAACAAAUGCCCUGCUUCCAGGAAAAGCCUCUAAGCAUCAGGUAACAUCAAAUCGUACCCCAAACCGACACAGGUGGUCAGGUAGAGAAUACCAAGGCGCUUGAGAGAACUCGGGUGAAGGAACUAGGCAAAAUGGUGCCGUAACUUCGGGAGAAGGCACGCUGACACGUAGGUGAAGUGAUUUACUCAUGGAGCUGAAGUCAGUCGAAGAUACCAGCUGGCUGCAACUGUUUAUUAAAAACACAGCACUGUGCAAACACGAAAGUGGACGUAUACGGUGUGACGCCUGCCCGGUGCCGGAAGGUUAAUUGAUGGGGUCAGCGCAAGCGAAGCUCCUGAUCGAAGCCCCGGUAAACGGCGGCCGUAACUAUAACGGUCCUAAGGUAGCGAAAUUCCUUGUCGGGUAAGUUCCGACCUGCACGAAUGGCGUAAUGAUGGCCAGGCUGUCUCCACCCGAGACUCAGUGAAAUUGAACUCGCUGUGAAGAUGCAGUGUACCCGCGGCAAGACGGAAAGACCCCGUGAACCUUUACUAUAGCUUGACACUGAACAUUGAGCCUUGAUGUGUAGGAUAGGUGGGAGGCUUUGAAGUGUGGACGCCAGUCUGCAUGGAGCCGACCUUGAAAUACCACCCUUUAAUGUUUGAUGUUCUAACGUGGACCCGUGAUCCGGGUUGCGGACAGUGUCUGGUGGGUAGUUUGACUGGGGCGGUCUCCUCCUAAAGAGUAACGGAGGAGCACGAAGGUUGGCUAAUCCUGGUCGGACAUCAGGAGGUUAGUGCAAUGGCAUAAGCCAGCUUGACUGCGAGCGUGACGGCGCGAGCAGGUGCGAAAGCAGGUCAUAGUGAUCCGGUGGUUCUGAAUGGAAGGGCCAUCGCUCAACGGAUAAAAGGUACUCCGGGGAUAACAGGCUGAUACCGCCCAAGAGUUCAUAUCGACGGCGGUGUUUGGCACCUCGAUGUCGGCUCAUCACAUCCUGGGGCUGAAGUAGGUCCCAAGGGUAUGGCUGUUCGCCAUUUAAAGUGGUACGCGAGCUGGGUUUAGAACGUCGUGAGACAGUUCGGUCCCUAUCUGCCGUGGGCGCUGGAGAACUGAGGGGGGCUGCUCCUAGUACGAGAGGACCGGAGUGGACGCAUCACUGGUGUUCGGGUUGUCAUGCCAAUGGCACUGCCCGGUAGCUAAAUGCGGAAGAGAUAAGUGCUGAAAGCAUCUAAGCACGAAACUUGCCCCGAGAUGAGUUCUCCCUGAGACUUAGAGUCUCCUGAAGGAACGUUGAAGACGACGACGUUGAUAGGCCGGGUGUGUAAGCACAGCGAUGCGUUGAGCUAACCGGUACUAAUGAACCGUGAGGCUUAACCUU
rnacentral:rRNA from 1 species